CAGCAGCCACGGUAACACGAAGGGUGCAAGCGUUACUCGGAAUUACUGGGCGUAAAGCGUGCGUAGGUGGUGGUUUAAGUCAGAUGUGAAAUCCCCGGGCUCAACCUGGGAACUGCAUUUGAGACUGUAUGGCUAGAGUGUGUCAGAGGGGGGUAGAAUUCCACGUGUAGCAGUGAAAUGCGUAGAUAUGUGGAGGAAUACCGAUGGCGAAGGCAGCCCCCUGGGAUAACACUGACGCUCAUGCACGAAAGCGUGGGGAGCAAACAGGAUUAGAUACCCCAGUAGUCCCUGUCUCUUAUAC
rnacentral:rRNA from 1 species